UGGUAAUGCCGGAUGCUCCGACUCCUCGCAUGGGGUGUCGGGAAAGAUUUCAUCGGUAUGGGAUGGGGUCGCGUCCUAUCAGGUAGUCGGCGGGGUAACGGCCCACCGAGCCUACGACGGGUAGCCGGCCUGAGAGGGCGACCGGCCACAUUGGGACUGAGAUACGGCCCAGACUCCUACGGGAGGCAGCAGUGGGGAAUAUUGCACAAUGGGCGCAAGCCUGAUGCAGCGACGCCGCGUGCGGGAUGACGGCCUUCGGGUUGUAAACCGCUUUUGAUCGGGAGCAAGCCUUCGGGUGAGUGUACCUUUCGAAUAAGCACCGGCUAACUACGUGCCAGCAGCCGCGGUAAUACGUAGGGUGCAAGCGUUAUCCGGAAUUAUUGGGCGUAAAGGGCUCGUAGGCGGUUCGUCGCGUCCGGUGUGAAAGUCCAUCGCUUAACGGUGGAUCUGCGCCGGGUACGGGCGGGCUGGAGUGCGGUAGGGGAGACUGGAAUUCCCGGUGUAACGGUGGAAUGU
rnacentral:rRNA from 1 species